CCUCGUAGUCCAUGCCGUAAACGAUGUGUGUUAGACGUUGGAAAUUUAUUUUCAGUGUCGCAGGGAAACCGAUAAACACACCGCCUGGGGAGUACGACCGCAAGGUUAAAACUCAAAUGAAUUGACGGGGACCCGCACAAGUAGUGGAGCAUGUGGUUUAAUUCGAAGAUACGCGCAGAACCUUACCAACACUUGACAUGUUCGUCGCGACUCUAAGAGAUUAGAGUUUUCGGUUCGGCCGGACGAAACACAGGUGCUGCAUGGCUGUCGUCAGCUCGUGUCGUGAGAUGUUGGGUUAAGUCCCGCAACGAGCGCAACCCUCACUUUUAGUUGCCAUCAUUAAGUUGGGCACUCUGAAAGAACUGCCAGUGAUAAGCUGGAGGAAGGUGGGGAUGACGUCAAGUCUUCAUGGCCCUUACGUGUUGGGCUACACACGUGCUACAAUGGCAUCUACAACAGGAAGCAAAACGGCAACGUUAAGCAAAUCCCGAAAAGAUGCCUCAGUUCGGAUUGCACUCUGCAACUCGAGUGCAUGAAGCUGGAAUUACUAGUAAUCGUGGAUCAGCGUGCCACGGUGAAUGCGUUCCCGGGUCUUGUACACACCGCCCGUC
rnacentral:rRNA from 1 species